GGAGAACUUGGUGCACCUCAUCCCUAUCGUUAUCAUCAUUUGCGCCACGGUUCUUUGGAUGUUCUCCAACCCUAACAUUGAGAUGAUGAGUAGAGAUGAUUCCAUCCUUGCCAGAAUCAAGAACUUGACCAUUGAUGGUUAUAACAAUUGGAACAACACAGCCGUGACAGUUGGGAUUGAAGAUUUGGAUCCAAUAGAUGGGAUUGCCACAGAGGAUUCUGGAAGAAAUAUAGACAACAAAAAUCAAUAUAAAUAGUUCAUUAGGUUAUUUUACAGGUCCUGUUUCCCAACUGUUCGUGUCUGUGAAAAGAAAUGUGUUCUAAGGAACUUUUUUUAUGAUCGAUACAUCUACCUUUCUUCAAUUUGUAAGGCUCUCGUUGGGCUGUGAUUUUCUAUUUAUUGCAUCUGUUUGUAAAAGAAGAUAAAAAAUUAUUCAUUUUUACUGUAGAUAAUGGAUUAUUUGUUCAA